UUUCAUUUUCUUACCAUGACUCUGUCUAUAAAUUGUUAAAUAUGCAAUUGAAAAAAAGUUUCUCCUAGUCAGGGUAAUCAGGUAAUCUUUGUGAAUAUGGUAAUCAUCACAUUUUAACAGAAUUUCAAUUCUGGUCAGAGAUUUCAAAGCCUAUUUAGAGAGCAAAACAAAAUGAAUUAAGCUGUUUCUAAGACAUCUGUUAAAUGCCCAAACGCGUCUGGCGCUGAGAACACCAAGACGGUGCUAGGGAAACCGAGAUGAAUGAAGAAACACGCUUUCUGCCUGUGCAGUCUCCUGAUCCUUCACUUGGCCGUGUGGUAGACUGAUUGCAACAAUGUGUGCAGUUCUUCCUUUCCCUGUGUUUACAGCAAUAGUAGUGUGAUAUCAAAGCACUUUCUCUCUGUUCCCUACCCCUUGAGUCUGGGCUGGUCAGGUGACUUGCUCUGGCCAAUCACCAUAAGUGACUAUGUGCUGGUUCCAGUCUGGGACUGAGGGACUUUGUGCACCUUGUUUGCUCUCUGGGAAUGCUGCUACGGACAUAUGGAGUAAGAGACACCACACAGAGGAGAGAUGAAGUGGCCUACAGACAUCACCUGGAACAGCCAGCCCACAGCUAAGCCAGCAGUAUCUUCUCUAGGAAAGGUGAAAAAUCUGACACAGCAAUCCCGAACAGGUGAAACACUGAAUUGUGUUUUGAACCGAGACUCAGGAAAACAGGUGUGCCAGCCAUCUGUUGUUGUGUUGGGGAUGCUCUUCCCAAAAAUGUGUCCGUCCAGACAUUGAUUCACAGAAGACUGAGACUUACAAAGAGUUGAGGGAAAUGGGACAGAAGGAGGAGUCUCGUCUCCCUCUGGAGACCACAGCAGUGUGCAGCAUAGAAGCCCAUAUAUUUCUCCAGGCAUAACCACAUGUGUGACAACACUCUCCAGAAGCAGAAGUGAAUUCCUCUUACAAUACAUCCAAGGAGCGUUGACUGAGGGAGAUUUCACUUUCUGUGGACCGCAGCCAUCUCUUCAGUUUCUCCCUGUUACUGAAAUCUCAUUGUUACACUCAGAAUCUGUCUUCUCCCGGGGCUUACUUUCAAAGCAUUUCACUGCCUGUGACAAGACAGACUGGAGACGAUGCUGGGAGGCUGGGGAAGGUGGCAUGCUGAAGAAAAAUGCAAGCGCCGCAGGAAGACUUCACUUCCAACUACCACUGCAGGGCCAUAGGACUGAUUCUGGACAAUGGAACGAGGGCAGAAAUGAUGAAGGUCAUUUUUCCAGCCUAGUCCAUGCAAUAUGUGGCCUGGUUUUCUAUGCUCACUCUCUCUGGCUGGAAGCAAAUGACCCCAAGAUGCCAGAGCCAUACCAUGAAAAGAGACUGGACCUCUGA
rnacentral:lncRNA from 1 species